CAGUCGCCGCGGUAAUACGUAGGGUGCGAGCGUUAAUCGGAAUUACUGGGCGUAAAGCGUGCGCAGGCGGUUUUGUAAGACAGAUGUGAAAUCCCCGGGCUCAACCUGGGAACUGCAUUUGUGACUGUAUAGCUAGAGUACGGCAGAAGGGGAUGGAAUUCCGCGUGUAGCAGUGAAAUGCGUAGAUAUGCGGAGGAACACCGAUGGCGAAGGCAAUCCCCUGGGCCUGUACUGACGCUCAUGCACGAAAGCGUGGGGAGCAAACAGGAUUAGAUACCCCCGUAGUCCCUGUCUCUUAUAC
rnacentral:rRNA from 1 species